UACGUAGGGCGCAAGCGUUGUCCGGAAUUACUGGGCGUAAAGCGUGCGCAGGCGGUUUUGUAAGCCAGAUGUGAAAUCCCCGGGCUUAACCUGGGAAUGGCAUUUGGGACUGGCAAAGCUGGAGUGCGGGCAGAGGGGACUGGGAAUUCCUGGUGUAGCAGUGAAAUGCGUAGAGAUCAGGAGGAAUACCGAUGGCGAAGGCAGGUCCCUGGGCUGAGACUG
rnacentral:rRNA from 1 species